rnacentral:rRNA from 1 species
AGUGAACGCUGGCGGUAGGCCUAACACAUGCAAGUCGAACGGCAGCACAGUAAGAGCUUGCUCUUACGGGUGGCGAGUGGCGGACGGGUGAGGAAUACAUCGGAAUCUACUUUUUCGUGGGGGAUAACGUAGGGAAACUUACGCUAAUACCGCAUACGACCUACGGGUGAAAGCAGGGGAUCUUCGGACCUUGCGCGAUUGAAUGAGCCGAUGUCGGAUUAGCUAGUUGGCGGGGUAAAGGCCCACCAAGGCGACGAUCCGUAGCUGGUCUGAGAGGAUGGCCGGCCAAUUGGGAACUGGAGCACGGUCCAGACACUUACGGAGGCAGCAGUGGGGAAUAUUGGACAAUGGGCGCAAGCCUGAUCCAGCCAUACCGCGUGGGUGAAGAAGGCCUUCGGGUUGUAAAGCCCUUUUAUUGGGAAAGAAAAGCAGCAGGUUAAUACCCCGCUGUUCUGACGGUACCCAAAGAAUAAGCACCGGCUAACUUCGUG